rnacentral:rRNA from 1 species
GUCCACGCCGUAAACGAUGAGUGCUAGACGCUGGGAAGUUCACUUUUCGGUGUCGCAGCUAACGCUUUAAGCACUCCGCCUGGGGAGUACGGCCGCAAGGUUGAAACUCAAAGGAAUUGACGGGGGCCCGCACAAGCGGUGGAGCAUGUGGUUUAAUUCGACGCAACGCGAAGAACCUUACCAGCCCUUGACUUGGGGCGUGUGGAUCUCAGAGAUGGGAUCCUUCAGUUCGGCUGGCGCCCACACAGGUGCUGCAUGGCUGUCGU